rnacentral:rRNA from 1 species
UACGUAGGCAGCGAGCGUUGUUCGGAGUUACUGGGCGUAAAGGGUGUGUAGGCGGUUGUUUAAGUUUGGUGUGAAAUCUCCCGGCUCAACUGGGAGGGUGCGCCGAAUACUGAAUGACUAGAGUGCGGGAGAGGUGAGUGGAAUUCCUGGUGUAGCGGUGAAAUGCGUAGAUAUCAGGAGGAACACCGGUGGUGUAGACGGCUCACUGGACCGUAACUGACGCUGAGGAGCGAAAGCCAGGGGAGCAAACGGG